rnacentral:rRNA from 1 species
AGAGUUUGAUCCAUGGCUCAGGAUGAACGCUGGCGGCGUGCUUAACACAUGCAAGUCGAACGAUGAAGCCCAGCUUGCUGGGUGGAUUAGUGGCGAACGGGUGAGUAACACGUGAGUAACCUGCCCUUAACUCUGGGAUAAGCCUGGGAAACUAGGUCUAAUACCGGAUAGGAGCGCCUACCGCAUGGUGGGUGUUGGAAAGAUUUAUCGGUUUUGGAUGGACUCGCGGCCUAUCAGCUUGUUGGUGAGGUAAUGGCUCACCAAGGCGACGACGGGUAGCCGGCCUGAGAGGGUGACCGGCCACACUGGGACUGAGACACGGCCCAGACUCCUACGGGAGGCAGCAGUGGGGAAUAUUGCACAAUGGGCGAAAGCCUGAUGCAGCGACGCCGCGUGAGGGAUGACGGCCUUCGGGUUGUAAACCUCUUUCAGUAGGGAAGAAGCGAAAG